rnacentral:rRNA from 1 species
AGGUCACACCUGUUCCCAUGCCGAACACAGAAGUUAAGCUCCUUAGCGCCGAUGGUAGUCGGACUAACGUUCCGCUAGAGUAGGACGUUGCCAGGC